rnacentral:rRNA from 1 species
UACGUAGGGGGCAAGCGUUGUCCGGAUUUAUUGGGCGUAAAGAGCGUGUAGGCGGCUUUGCAAGUCCGUUGUGAAAACUCGAGGCUCAACCUCGAGACGCCGGUGGAAACUGCAAAGCUAGAGUCCGGAAGAGGAGAGUGGAACUGCGAGUGUAGAGGUGAAAUUCGUAGAUAUUCGCAAGAACACCAGUGGCGAAGGCGGCUCACUGGCCCGGUACUGACGCUGAGGUGCGAAAGCGUGGGGAGCAAACAGG